rnacentral:rRNA from 1 species
ACUCCUACGGGAGGCAGCAGUGGGGAAUAUUGCACAAUGGGGGAAACCCUGAUGCAGCCAUGCCGCGUGUGUGAAGAAGGCCUUCGGGUUGUAAAGCACUUUCAGUGCGAGGAAAGGUUGAUGGUUAAUACCUAUCAGCUGUGACUGUUACCCACAGAAGAAGCACCGGCUAACUCCGUGCCAGCAGCCGCGGUAAUACGGAGGGUGCAAGCGUUAAUCGGAAUUACUGGGCGUAAAGCGUGCGCAGGCGGUCUGUUAAGCGAGAUGUGAAAGCCCCGGGCUCAACCUGGAACUGCAUUUCGAACUGGCAGACUAGAGUCUUGUAGAGGGGGGUAGAAUUCCAGGUGUAGCGGUGAAAUGCGUAGAGAUCUGGAGGAAUACCGGUGGCGAAGGCGGCCCCUGGACAAAGACUGACGCUCAGGCACGAAAGCGUGGGGAGCAAACAGGAUUAGAU